CUACCGGCAUCGUGAGGUGCCGGGAUGGGGCGGCAGAAGUCAGCCGAGGCCGUAGUAGGCUGCCUGACCAGCAGCUGAAGGGC
rnacentral:ncRNA from 1 species